rnacentral:rRNA from 1 species
GCCCCGCAAGGGGAGCGGCAGACGGGUGAGUAACGCGUGGGAACGUACCUUUUGCUACGGAAUAACUCAGGGAAACUUGUGCUAAUACCGUAUGUGCCCUUCGGGGGAAAGAUUUAUCGGCAAAGGAUCGGCCCGCGUUGGAUUAGCUAGUUGGUGAGGUAAAGGCUCACCAAGGCGACGAUCCAUAGCUGGUCUGAGAGGAUGAUCAGCCACACUGGGACUGAGACACGGCCCAGACUCCUACGGGAGGCAGCAGUGGGGAAUAUUGGACAAUGGGCGCAAGCCUGAUCCAGCCAUGCCGCGUGAGUGAUGAAGGCCCUAGGGUUGUAAAGCUCUUUCACCGGUGAAGAUAAUGACGGUAACCGGAGAAGAAGCCCCGGCUAACUUCGUGCCAGCAGCCGCGGUAAUACGAAGGGGGCUAGCGUUGUUCGGAUUUACUGGGCGUAAAGCGCACGUAGGCGGACUUUUAAGUCAGGGGUGAAAUCCCGGGGCUCAACCCCGGAACUGCCUUUGAUACUGGAAGUCUUGAGUAUGGUAGAGG